rnacentral:rRNA from 1 species
CUUCUUUUUCCCCGGAGCUUGCUCCACCGGAAAAAGAAGAGUGGCGAACGGGUGAGUAACACGUGGGUAACCUGCCCAUCAGAAGGGGAUAACACUUGGAAACAGGUGCUAAUACCGUAUAACAAUCAAAACCGCAUGGUUUUGAUUUGAAAGGCGCUUUCGGGUGUCGCUGAUGGAUGGACCCGCGGUGCAUUAGCUAGUUGGUGAGGUAACGGCUCACCAAGGCCACGAUGCAUAGCCGACCUGAGAGGGUGAUCGGCCACAUUGGGACUGAGACACGGCCCAAACUCCUACGGGAGGCAGCAGUAGGGAAUCUUCGGCAAUGGACGAAAGUCUGACCGAGCAACGCCGCGUGAGUGAAGAAGGUUUUCGGAUCGUAAAACUCUGUUGUUAGAGAAGAACAAGGAUGAGAGUAACUGUUCAUCCCUUGACGGUAUCUAACCAGAAAGCCACGGCUAACUACGUGCCAGCAGCCGCGGUAAUACGUAGGUGGCAAGCGUUGUCCGGAUUUAUUGGGCGUAAAGCGAGCGCAGGCGGUUUCUUAAGUCUGAUGUGAAAGCCCCCGGCUCAACCGGGGAGGGUCAUUGGAAACUGGGAGACUUGAGUGCAGAAGAGGAGAGUGGAAUUCCAUGUGUAGCGGUGAAAUGCGUAGAUAUAUGGAGGAACACCAGUGGCGAAGGCGGCUCUCUGGUCUGUAACUGACGCUGAGGCUCGAAAGCGUGGGGAGCAAACAGGAUUAGAUACCCUGGUAGUCCACGCCGUAAACGAUGAGUGCUAAGUGUUGGAGGGUUUCCGCCCUUCAGUGCUGCAGCUAACGCAUUAAGCACUCCGCCUGGGGAGUACGACCGCAAGGUUGAAACUCAAAGGAAUUGACGGGGGCCCGCACAAGCGGUGGAGCAUGUGGUUUAAUUCGAAGCAACGCGAAGAACCUUACCAGGUCUUGACAUCCUUUGACCACUCUAGAGAUAGAGCUUCCCCUUCGGGGGCAAAGUGACAGGUGGUGCAUGGUUGUCGUCAGCUCGUGUCGUGAGAUGUUGGGUUAAGUCCCGCAACGAGCGCAACCCUUAUUGUUAGUUGCCAUCAUUCAGUUGGGCACUCUAGCAAGACUGC